rnacentral:rRNA from 1 species
UACGUAGGUGACCAGCGUUGUCCGGAUUUACUGGGCGUAAAGAGCGCGCAGGCGGUCGUUCAAGUCGAGUGUGAAAGCCCCCGGCUCAACUGGGGAGGGUCACUCGAUACUGAUCGACUUGAAGGCAGGAGAGGGAAGCGGAAUUCCCGGUGUAGUGGUGAAAUGCGUAGAUAUCGAGAGGAACACCUGCGGCGAAGGCGGGUUGCUGGGCUGACACUGACGCUGAUGCGCGAAAGCCAGGGGAGCGAACGGG